rnacentral:rRNA from 1 species
AUUACGCCGCGUGAGUGAAGAAGGCUCUUGGGUUGUAAAGCUCUUUCGGCUGGGGAGAAGGGAUUGCCCGCGAACAGUUGGCAAUUCUGACGGUACCAGAAGAAGAAGCACCUGCUAACUACGUGCCAGCAGCAGCGGUAAUACGUAGGGUGCAAGCGUUGUUCGGAAUUACUGGGCGUAAAGGGCGCGUAGGCGGGCCCGUAUGUCGAUUGUGAAAGCCCUGGGCUUAACCUGGGAAUUGCAGUCGAAACUGCGGGUCUUGAAUGCCUGAGGGGAUGGCGGAAUUCCCGGUGUAGAAGUGAAAUUCGUAGAUAUCGGGAAGAACACCUGAGGCGAAGGCGGCUAUCUGGCGGUGCAUUGACGCUGAGGCGCGAAAGCGUGGGGAGCAAACAGGAUUAGAUACCCUGGUAGUCCACGCCGUAAACUAUGGAUACUAGGUGUCCGGGAUGUUAACCUCCUUGGGUACCGUAGCUCACGCAUUAAGUAUCCCGCCUGGGGAGUACGGUCGCAAGACUAAAACUCAAAGGAAUUGACGGGGGCCCGAACAAGCGGUGGAGUAUGUGGUUUACUUCGAAGCAACGCGCAGAACCUUACCU